rnacentral:rRNA from 1 species
GCCAGAGGGGGCAAGCGUUGCUCGGAAUUACUGGGCGUAAAGGGCGCGUAGGCGGGAUGGCAAGUCGGUCGUGAAAUCCCUCGGCUCAACCGAGGAACGUCGAUCGAUACUGCUGUUCUUGAGGAUUGCAGAGGAGACUGGAAUUCCCGGUGUAGCGGUGAAAUGUGUAGAGAUCGGGAGGAACACCGGUGGCGAAGGCGGGUCUCUGGGCAAUUCCUGACGCUGAGGCGCGAAAGCGUGGGGAGCGAACGGG